AUAAUAUAUAUUUAUAUAUAUUGAUCUGUUUAUUUAUUUAAAGCGGCUUAAAAAAGUUUCACUUCUAUUGUGACCUUAUGUCUGUGAGGCUCACUCAUUUUUUUUUUUAUACACCAGUUUGUUUAUUUAGUGAUAUUUUUAAUUAAAUUCUCGUGUGUAAUAUACUAUUUAUUGCCGCGUAUAUAAUCGUGUUGACAUUAAUUUCACGGGAGGAAAAA